AUCAUUACCGAGUGAGGGCCCUCUGGGUCCAACCUCCCCACCCGUGUUUAUUUUACCUUGUUGCUUCGGCGGGCCCGCCUUAACUGGCCGCCGGGGGGCUUACGCCCCCGGGCCCGCGCCCGCCGAAGACACCCUCGAACUCUGUCUGAAGAUUGUAGUCUGAGUGAAAAUAUAAAUUAUUUAAAACUUUCAACAACGGAUCUCUUGGUUCCGGCAUCGAUGAAGAACGCAGCGAAAUGCGAUACGUAAUGUGAAUUGCAAAUUCAGUGAAUCAUCGAGUCUUUGAACGCACAUUGCGCCCCCUGGUAUUCCGGGGGGCAUGCCUGUCCGAGCGUCAUUGCUGCCCUCAAGCACGGCUUGUGUGUUGGGCCCCGUCCUCCGAUCCCGGGGGACGGGCCCGAAAGGCAGCGGCGGCACCGCGUCCGGUCCUCGAGCGUAUGGGGCUUUGUCACCCGCUCUGUAGGCCCGGCCGGCGCUUGCCGAUCAACCCAAAUUUUUAUCCAGGUUGACCUCGGAUCAGGUAGGGAUACCCGCUGAACUUAAGCAUAUCAAUAAGCGGAGGA
rnacentral:rRNA from 1 species